AUGGAAUUUUUCGCAGACUGGUCCUCUCUUCCGGCCGACCUCAUCAACCGCAUCGCCGACCGCUUCCUAGGCACAAGUGACGUCGACUACUACAUGGACCUCCGUGCCGUCUGCCAUAGCUGGCGCUCCGCCACCCAAGACCCCAAGAAUUCCCCGGACCCUCGCUUCCACCCCCGUCACUGGGUCAACAUCAACGGAGCCUCUUGCCGCUCCAGCACGCGCCUCUUGGUGAACACCGCCACUGGCCGAACCCUGCGCCAGGAACUCGGCUACUUGAUCCGUUUUAUGGCGCACCGACCCUGCGAGAUCGUGGAAUAUGCUGCCCUCGAGUCCGGUUCUUCACCCACCAUUUUCUUUUUCUGCAAGGACUACAUGGAUGAUAACUGGGUUAUACAUGAAUCGUCUCGUAAGGUCUACAUGGCUGAGCCUGACAGUGAGUCUCUCGUCAUCUAUGAGGACAUGUGUGCUUUCCCUUUGAUCAGGCUGGCUACCAGCGGUAUCUACACUAUUCGCGGUGCUGACCUGGGAUCCGUGGCCAGAAGGAUCUUUGAUCUAAUGAGGUUUUACAAGGCCGAUCUUGCUGAGAUAUCUGACAAUGAAUAUACCAUGAUGUUGGACGAAAAAUCUUUAUGGAAGCUUUGUGUAGGACGUUGUUUCCUAACGGAAUCUGCUGGAAAAGUGUUGAUCAUCAUGAAGCUAGCACAAGGCGUCGUGGUCUACAGAUUACACACUCACAACUAUAAACUCGAGCAUGUGGAGGACAUUGGCAACUGUGCCAUCUUCUUAGAUCUGUAUUGUUGGUGCUUGUGUGUUAAUGCUGAUAAAUUUCCGUCCGUCCAUGCCAACUGCGUCUAUUACCAGAAAAGCCAACUAGCUGUUGCUAAUUACUUGUGCAUGUAUAAUCUCAAGUCCGAGAGAGAAGAAAGAGUUGAUGAAAAUUUUGAGCAUCUUCUUUUGGACCAAACGCUGUCUCGGCUUUAA
rnacentral:rRNA from 1 species